GAUGAACGCUGGCGGCGUGCCUAAUACAUGCAAGUCGAGCGAACGGACGAGAAGCUUGCUUCUCUGAUGUUAGCGGCUGACGGGUGAGUAACACGUGGAUAACCUACCUAUAAGACUGGGAUAACUUCGUGAAACCGGAGCUAAUACCGGAUAAUAUUUUGAACCGCAUGGUUCAAAAGUGAAAGACGGUCUUGCUGUCACUUAUAGAUGGAUCCGCGCUGCAUUAGCUAGUUGGUAAGGUAACGGCUUACCAAGGCAACGAUGCAUAGCCGACCUGAGAGUGUGAUCGGCCAAACUGCAACUGGAACACGGACCAGACUUCUACGGAAGGCAGCAGUAGGGAGUCUUCCGCAAUGGGCGCAAGCAUGACGGAGCAACGCCGCGGGAGUGCUGAAGGUCUUCGGAUCGUAAAACUCUGUUAUUAGGGAAGAACAUAUGUGUAAGUAACUGUGCACAUCUUGACGGUACCUAAUCAGAAAGACACGGCUAACUACGUG
rnacentral:rRNA from 1 species